ACUCCUACGGGAGGCAGCAGUGGGGAAUAUUGCACAAUGGGCGCAAGCCUGAUGCAGCAACGCCGCGUGAGUGAUGAAGGCCUUCGGGUCGUAAAGCUCUGUCCUCAAGGAAGAAUAAAUGACGGUACUUGAGGAGGAAGCCCCGGCUAACUACGUGCCAGCAGCCGCGGUAAUACGUAGGGGCAAGCGUUAUCCGGAAUCACUGGGCGUAAAGGGUGCGUAGGCGGUUUUCAAGUCAGAAGUGAAAGGCUAUGGCUCAACCAUAGUAAGCUUUUGAAACUGUUAAACUUGAGUGCAGGAGAGGAAAGUGGAAUUCCUAGUGUAGAGUGAAAUUCGUAGAUAUUAGGAGGAACACCAGUGGCGAAGGCGACUUUCUGGACUGUAACUGACGCUGAGGCACGAAAGCGUGGGAGCGAACAGGAUUAGAUACCCUGGUAGACUGUCA
rnacentral:rRNA from 1 species